rnacentral:tRNA from 1 species
AUUAGAUUAGCAAAGAGUUAAAGUGCGAAUAGUUUAGAACUAUUUUAGGAGGAGAAUGCCUCAUCUAAUA